rnacentral:rRNA from 1 species
AGGUAAGCUACUAAGAGCGAAUGGUGGAUGCCUUGACUGGUAAAGGCGAUGAAGGACGUACUAGACUGCGAUAAGCUACGGGGAGCUGUCAAGAAGCUUUGAUCCGUAGAUUUCCGAAUGGGGCAACCCAAUGUAUAGAGAUAUACAUUACCUAUAUAGGAGCGAACGAGGGGAAUUGAAACAUCUUAGUACCCUCAGGAAAAGAAAUCAAUAGAGAUUGCGUCAGUAGCGGCGAGCGAAAGCGCAAGAGGGCAAACCCAGUGCUUGCACUGGGGGUUGUAGGACUGCAAUGUGCAAGAGGUAAGUUUAGCAGAACAUUCUGGAAAGUAUAACCAUAGAGGGUGAUAGUCCCGUAUGCGAAAAACAAACCUUAGCUAGCAGUAUCCUGAGUAGGGCGGGACACGAGGAAUCCUGUCUGAAUCCGGGUCGACCACGAUCCAACCCUAAAUACUAAUACCAGAUCGAUAGUGCACAAGUACCGUGAGGGAAAGGUGAAAAGAACUGAGGUGAUCAGAGUGAAAUAGAACCUGAAACCAUUUGCUUACAAUCAUUCAGAGCCCUAUGUAGCAAUACAGGGUGAUGGACUGCCUUUUGCAUAAUGAGCCUGCGAGUUGUGGUGUCUGGCAAGGUUAAGCAAACGCGAAGCCGUAGCGAAAGCGAGUCUGAAUAGGGCGCUUAGUCAGAUGCUGCAGACCCGAAACGAAGUGAUCUAUCCAUGAGCAAGUUGAAGCUAGUGUAAGAACUAGUGGAGGACUGAACCCAUAGGCGUUGAAAAGCCCCGGGAUGACUUGUGGAUAGGGGUGAAAGGCCAAUCAAACUUCGUGAUAGCUGGUUCUCUCCGAAAUAUAUUUAGGUAUAGCGUUGUGUCGUAAUAUAAGGGGGUAGAGCACUGAAUGGGCUAGGGCAUACACCAAUGUACCAAACCCUAUCAAACUCCGAAUACCUUAUAUGUAAUCACAGCAGUCAGGCGGCGAGUGAUAAAAUCCGUCGUCAAGAGGGAAACAACCCAGACUACCAGCUAAGGUCCCUAAAUCUUACUUAAGUGGAAAACGAUGUGAAGUUACUUAAACAACCAGGAGGUUGGCUUAGAAGCAGCCAUCCUUUAAAGAAAGCGUAAUAGCUCACUGGUCUAGUGAUUUUGCGCGGAAAAUAUAACGGGGCUAAAGUAAGUACCGAAGCUGUAGACUUAGUUUACUAAGUGGUAGGAGAGCGUUCUAUUUGCGUCGAAGGUAUACCGGUAAGGAGUGCUGGAGCGAAUAGAAGUGAGCAUGCAGGCAUGAGUAGCGAUAAUUAAUGUGAGAAUCAUUAACGCCGUAAACCCAAGGUUUCCUACGCGAUGCUCGUCAUCGUAGGGUUAGUCGGGUCCUAAGUCGAGUCCGAAAGGGGUAGACGAUGGCAAAUUGGUUAAUAUUCCAAUACCAACAUUAGUGUGCGAUGGAAGGACGCUUAGGGCUAAGGGGGCUAGCGGAUGGAAGUGCUAGUCUAAGGUCGUAGGAGGUUAUACAGGCAAAUCCGUAUAACAAUACUCCGAGAACUGAAAGGCUUUUUGAAGUCUUCGGAUGGAUAGAAGAACCCCUGAUGCCGUCGAGCCAAGAAAAGUUUCUAAGUUUAGCUAAUGUUGCCCGUACCGUAAACCGACACAGGUGGGUGGGAUGAGUAUUCUAAGGCGCGUGGAAGAACUCUCUUUAAGGAACUCUGCAAAAUAGCACCGUAUCUUCGGUAUAAGGUGUGGUUAGCUUUGUAUUAGGAUUUACUCCGAAAGCAAGGAAACUUACAACAAAGAGUCCCUCCCGACUGUUUACCAAAAACACAGCACUCUGCUAACUCGUAAGAGGAUGUAUAGGGUGUGACGCCUGCCCGGUGCUCGAAGGUUAAUUGAUGGGGUUAGCAUUAGCGAAGCUCUUGAUCGAAGCCCGAGUAAACGGCGGCCGUAACUAUAACGGUCCUAAGGUAGCGAAAUUCCUUGUCGGUUAAAUACCGACCUGCAUGAAUGGCGUAACGAGAUGGGAGCUGUCUCAAAGAGGGAUCCAGUGAAAUUGUAGUGGAGGUGAAAAUUCCUCCUACCCGCGGCAAGACGGAAAGACCCCGUGGACCUUUACUACAGCUUGACACUGCUACUUGGAUAAGAAUGUGCAGGAUAGGUGGGAGGCUUUGAGUAUAUGACGCCAGUUGUAUAUGAGCCAUUGUUGAGAUA